UGUAUAAGCUCCCGGACAGCGGCUGGGCGACUGGUAAGCUUGCUUGCCGAGACGCACAGACAUUGGACGGGGCAACAGGUAUGAGCACGCAGGCAUAUGCGCCGGAGUGCGAAUGCCUGUCGGGAUUGCGGGAGUGCGAUGCACGGGGCAAUCCGCAGGUUAUA
rnacentral:ncRNA from 2 species